rnacentral:rRNA from 1 species
GAGUUUGAUCAUGGCUCAGAUUGAACGCUGGCGGCAUGCCUUACACAUGCAAGUCGAACGGAGUAUUCACGAAAGAGGUUUCGGCCAAUGGAGUGAAUUACUUAGUGGCGGACUGGUGAGUAACGCGUGAGGAACCUGCCUUUCAGUGGGGGACAACAGUUGGAAACGACUGCUAAUACCGCAUAACACAUUUGAGGGACAUCCCUUGAAAUGUCAAAGAUUUAUUGCUGAAAGAUGGCCUCGCGUCUGAUUAGCUAGUUGGUGAGGUAACGGCCCACCAAGGCGACGAUCAGUAGCCGGACUGAGAGGUUGACCGGCCACAUUGGGACUGAGAUACGGCCCAGACUCCUACGGGAGGCAGCAGUGGGAAUA